AUCUUCUUCUAUAUCAAUCUCAUUAUAACUAUAAUCAUUUUUAUCUAUGACUGUGACUAUUCUUUCAAAAGGAUCUUCUAUUUUUAUUUUUUUUAUUUUAUUUUUUGCUGUUAUUUUAUGUUUUGUUGUUAAAACAUAUAAGUUUUUACAUCUAGCUGUAAAUAUUUUACUUCCCGGGGCUAGUUCUAUUCCUGACAUUUUCCAA
rnacentral:lncRNA from 1 species